rnacentral:precursor_RNA from 10 species
AACUUCGUCUUUGAGUAGCCUGUGACACUGCCUUAUUCAGUAGAGUCGUGAUGGUGACAAGAAACUCAUCACAACCUACAUGAAUGGGGUAACGGAACGGGAUGGAACUGCGAAUCGUACA